GCUGGGCAUAGUGGCGUGUGCCUGUAAUCCCAGCUACUCAGGAGGCUGAGACAGGAGAAUCGCUUGAACCCAGGAGGUGGAGGUUGCAGUGAGCCAAGGUUGUGCCACUGCACUCCAGCCUGGGCAACAGAACGAGACCCUGUCUCAA
rnacentral:SRP_RNA from 1 species